rnacentral:rRNA from 1 species
UACAGAGGUCUCGAGCGUUGUUCGGAUUCAUUGGGCGUAAAGGGUGCGUAGGUGGCUAGGUAAGUCGGAUGUGAAAUCCCGGGGCUCAACCCCGGAACUGCAUUCGAUACUGCCUGGCUAGAGUACUGGAGAGGAGAUUGGAAUUUACGGUGUAGCAGUGAAAUGCGUAGAUAUCGUAAGGAAGACCAGUGGCGAAGGCGAAUCUCUGGACAGUUACUGACACUGAGGCUCGAAGGCCAGGGGAGCAAACGGG